rnacentral:rRNA from 1 species
CGGCGAACGGGUGAGUAACACGUGGGCAACCUGCCCUCAGCUCUGGGAUAACUCCGGGAAACCGGGGCUAAUACCGGAUACGACCUCCUCUGGCAUCUGGGGUGGUGGAAAGUUUUUCGGCUGAGGAUGGGCCCGCGGCCUAUCAGCUUGUUGGUUGGGUAAUGGCCUACCAAGGCGACGACGGGUAGCCGGCCUGAGAGGGCGACCGGCCACACUGGGACUGAGACACGGCCCAGACUCCUACGGGAGGCAGCAGUGGGGAAUAUUGCGCAAUGGGCGAAAGCCUGACGCAGCGACGCCGCGUGAGGGAUGACGGCCUUCGGGUUGUAAACCUCUUUCAGCAGGGACGAAGCGAGAGUGACGGUACCUGCAGAAGAAGCACCGGCCAACUACGUGCCAGCAGCCGCGGUAAUACGUAGGGUGCAAGCGUUGUCCGGAAUUAUUGGGCGUAAAGAGCUCGUAGGCGGUCUGUCGCGUCGGCUGUGAAAACUCGGGGCUCAACCCCGAGCCUGCAGUCGAUAC